rnacentral:rRNA from 1 species
GAUGAACGCUGGCGGCGUGCCUAAUACAUGCAAGUCGAGCGAACAGACGAGGAGCUUGCUCCUCUGACGUUAGCGGCGGACGGGUGAGUAACACGUGGAUAACCUACCUAUAAGACUGGGAUAACUUCGGGAAACCGGAGCUAAUACCGGAUAAUAUAUUGAACCGCAUGGUUCAAUAGUGAAAUACGGUUUUUCUGUCACUUAUAGAUGGAUCCGCGCCGCAUUAGCUAGUUGGUUAGGUAAUGGGUUACCAAGGCUACGAUGCGUAGCCGACCUGAGAGGGUGGUCGGCGACACGGGAAGUGAGACAGGGUCCAGACUCCUACGGUAGGAAGCAGUAGGGAAUCUUACGCAAUGGGCGAGAGCCUGACGGAGCAACGCGGCGUGAGUGAUGAAGGUCUUCGGAUCGUGAAACUCUGUUAUUAGGGAGGAACAAAUGUGUAAGUAACUAUGCACGUCUUGACGGUACCUAAUCAGAAAGCCACGGCUAACUACGUG